rnacentral:lncRNA from 14 species
CUCCUUGCUUGUGUGCUCCCAUUGGGAUAAAUGAGGGACAUGAUGCUCCUCGGUGGUACCCAGACUGCUCAGAGCCCAUGGACUGAGGUUUGGGAACCUCAACCCUCGUGUCUCCUGUUCUUAUUUCCAUCUUUUCCUCUGUAACGAAUAGUUCUGCAGCUAAUUCCUGAUGGGACUAUUUAUAGCAGCCUGGUUCUCCCUCAUAGGUCUGUUUGCUGCUCCCUCCCUGCCUGCUCCUUUGGUAUAAAUAGAGAGCCAGGGAGGUUUGAAAGCUGGAACAGGGAACAGCCAGCAAGGGGUGAAUCCUUCUGUCCUGCUGCCCUCUGCUUGUUACACCCUCCCCUAUAGGCUCAGCCAAGCCUCUGAGGGUCCCUGCUGCUGUGCCAGACCCCCACUGUGCCUUCCUAUGGGAUGAUGCUCAUCUGGGGCCAGAAGAGGAGGCAGUGAACCCCAGGGAUGCACGAUGUGAUUCCCUGGUUAAAUGGAGCUGUCUGUGCCUGUCCUGGUGCAGGACAUCAGGAGCUCAGAGCAUCUCAGCACCAACAGCACAAUCCAGGAGCACCAAAUUGGCUUCUCCUCCAAGAAGGGAACCAAAAGCUUCACCUUCCCCCCGGAGAUGCCCAUUAACCAAUAGGCUGGAGCAAACCACACUGAGAGGCCUGUGAGCCAAUGGAGAGGGAAAGGGAUAACAUGGAGCUGCAGGCUCAGCCCAGCCAUAGGCGGCAUUGCCAGAGCAUCCGGUUG